AACCUAGCACACCUGCGGUGUGUACCUGCGGAGGGAUCAUUACCUAUUUGGCCUUUGUGGCUACGCUCGGGGGGCCUUUGGUCCCCGUCUGCACCCUCGUCUUUGCGCACUCAUGUUUCCUCGGUGGGCUUGCCUGCCGCUAGGACAACCUAAACUCUUGAAUUUUCAAUCAGCGUCUGAUAACAAUAAUAUUUACAACUUUCAACAAUGGAUCU
rnacentral:misc_RNA from 1 species